rnacentral:rRNA from 1 species
AGCUAUGUCCUACGGGAGCAGCAGUAGGGAAUUUUCGUCAAUGGGGGCAACCCUGAACGAGCAAUGCCGCGUGAGCGAAGAAGGUCUUCGGAUUGUAAAGCUCUGUUGCCGGGGAAAAAGGAAGGAAAGAGGAAAUGCUUUUUCUUUGGAUGGUACCCGGCCAGAAAGUCACGGCUAACUACGUGCC